GAAAAAUGAGGGAUGCAACACGAGGACUUUUCGGGAGGUCACCCAUCGUAGUACUACUCUCGCCCAAGCACGCUUAACUGUAGAGUUCUGAUGGGAUCCGGUUCAUUAUUGCUGGUAUGAUCGCAUCCGUUACUACAUGCAAUGCAAUCGUAUCUAUUCUUUUUUGAAGACUUUAUGAUCCAUUUGCCGUGGGUCCCACCAGCUAUGUUGGAAUACCCUAUCUUGUUUAUAAGAGCUUUGUUACAUGCAAAAUAUUCGAAAACAAUGUCCGAACAUAUAAUAUUUGCCCCGUAAUAUAGCAAAGAUCACGAAAAGGCCAGAAAACCUA
rnacentral:sRNA from 1 species